rnacentral:rRNA from 1 species
CAGCCGCCGCGGGAAUACGAAGGGGGCUAGCGUUGUUCGGAUUUACUGGGCGUAAAGCGCACGUAGGCGGACUUUUAAGUCAGGGGUGAAAUCCCGGGGCUCAACCCCGGAACUGCCUUUGAUACUGGAAGUCUUGAGUAUAGUAGAGGUGAGUGGAAUUCCGAGUGUAGAGGUGAAAUUCGUAGAUAUUCGGAGGAACACCAGUGGCGAAGGCGGCCCACUGGACCAUUACUGACGCUGAGGUGCGAAAGCGUGGGGAGCAAACAGGAUUAGAUACCCCUGUAGUCCCUGUCUCUUAUAC